ACACUUAGUGGCGAAAGGGUUAGUAAUGGCUAGGUAACGUACCCCCAUCUCCGGGAUAGCUAUUCGAAAGGAUAGGUAAUACCGGAUAAUAUCAUAAGUCGAUAGGCUUAUGAUCUAAGAUUUAUCGGGAGGGGAGCGGCCUAGUUCCUAUCAGCUUGUUGGUGAGGUAAUGGCUCACCAAGGCAUCGACGGGUAGCGGGACUGAGAGGUUGGCCCGCAACAUCGGAACUGAGACACUGUCCGGACCUCCACGGAGGGCUGCAGUAACGAAUAUUGCGCAAUGGGCGUAAGCCUGACGCAGCGACGCCGCGUGUGGGAUGAAGUUUUUCGGAAUGUAAACCACUUUUCGGGUUUAGAAAGUCUUCGGAUUGAUCAGCCCCGGAAUAAGUCACGGCUAACUUCGUGCCAGCAGCCGCGGUAAGACGAAGGUGGCAAGCGUUGUUCGGUAUUACUGGGCUUAAAGCGUGUGUAGGCGGAAAUGUAAGCGUUUUGUGAAAUCCCUCGGCUCAACCGAGGAAUUGCUUGGCGAACUACAUUUCUUGAGGCAAGUAGGGGUACACGGAACUCUUGGUGGAGCGGUGGAAUGCGUAGAUAUCAAGAGGAACGCCGGUGGAGAAGUCGGUGUACUGGGCUUGUCCUGACGCUGAGACACGAAAGCGUGGGGAGCAAACAGGAUUAGAUACCCUGGUAGUCCACGCUGUAAACGAUGUCUACUAGGUCGUGGGAGUUCUGACGCUCGCACGGCCGAAGCUAAAGUGUUAAGUAGACCGCCUGGGGAGUACGGUCGCAAGGCUAAAACUCAAAGGAAUUGACGGGGGCUCACACAAGCGGUGGAGCAUGUGGAUUAACUCGAAGCAACGCGCAGAACCUUACCUGGGUUUGACAUGUUUGGAUGCCCUUUGGGAAACCAGAGUAAGCUGCCCUUCGGGGUGAAACUUACGCAGGUGCUGCAUGGCUGUCGUCAGCUCGUGUCGUGAGAUGUUGGGUUAAGUCCUUUAACGAGCGAAACCCUUACCGUUAGUUGCCAGCGCGUCAUGGCGGGGACUCUAACGGGACUGCCGGUGUUAAACCGGAGGAAGGUGGGGAUGACGUCAAGUCCUCAUGGCCUUUAUGCCCAGGGCUUCACACGUGCUACACUGGUCCGGACAGAGCGACGCAAGACCGCGAGGUGGAGCAAAUCGCAAAAACCGGGCCCCAGUUCGGAUUGUAGGCUGGCAACUCGCCUACAUGAAGUUGGAAUCGCUAGUAAUCGCGUGUCAGCUAUAACGCGGUGAAUGUGUUCCUGAGCCCUGUACACACCGCCCGUCAAGUGAUGGGAGUUGGGAGUACCCGAAGUCGGAUUGCUAACCAGCAAUGGAGGCGUCUGCCGACGGUAAGCCCGAUGACUGGCACUAAGUCGGAACAAGGUA
rnacentral:rRNA from 1 species